rnacentral:rRNA from 1 species
UCUACGGGAGGCAGCAGUGAGGAAUAUUGGUCAAUGGGCGCGAGCCUGAACCAGCCAAGUAGCGUGAAGGAUGACUGCCCUACGGGUUGUAAACUUCUUUUAUAAAGGAAUAAAGUGAGGCACGUGUGCCUUUUUGUGUGUACUUUAUGAAUAAGGAUCGGCUAACUCCGUGCCAGCAGCCGCGGUAAUACGGAGGAUCCGAGCGUUAUCCGGAUUUAUUGGGUUUAAAGGGAGCGUAGAUGGGUUGUUAAGUCAGUUGUGAAAGUUUGCGGCUCAACCGUAAAAUUGCAAUUGAUACUGGCAGUCAUGAGUACAGUUGAGGUAGGCGGAAUUCGUGGUGUAGCGGUGAAAUGCUUAGAUAUCACGAAGAACUCCGAUUGAGAAGGCAGCUUACUAAACUGCCACUGACAUUGAUGCUCGAAAGUGUGGGUAUCAAACAGGAUUAGAUACCCGAGUAGUC